GGCCUGAUGGUCCAGUGGCUAGGGCUCUGGCGCUCGGUGCCACUGGUUUCGGGUUUGAAUCCCGAUUGUGCCA